rnacentral:rRNA from 1 species
GAUGAACGCUGGCGGCGUGCCUAAUACAUGCAAGUCGAGCGAACGGACGAGAAGCUUGCUUCUCUGAUGUUAGCGGCGGACGGGUGAGUAACACGUGGAUAACCUACCUAUAAGACUGGGAUAACUUCGGGAAACCGGAGCUAAUACCGGAUAAUAUUUUGAACCGCAUGGUUCAAAAGUGAAAGACGGUCUUGCUGUCACUUAUAGAUGGAUCCGCGCUGCAUUAGCUAGUUGGUAAGGUAACGGCUUACCAAGGCAACGAUGCAUAGCCGACCUGAGAGGGGGAGCGCCCCCCCUGAACCGGGAACCGGUCCCGGCCCCCACGGGGAGGAGCAGGAGGGGAUCCUCCCAGAAGGGCCAAAGGCCGGAGGGGGCACCGCCGGGUGGUGAAUAAGGGUCUUGGAAUAGAAAACCUUUUUUAUUGGGGAAAAACAUAUGUGAAAGUAACUUGGCCUUUCUGGACGGUACCUAACAAAAAAGCCCCGGCUAACUCCGUG